GAUGAACGCUGGCGGCGUGCCUAACACAUGCAAGUCGAGCGAUUCUCUUCGGAGAAGAGCGGCGGACGUGUGAGUAACGCGUGGGUAACCUGCCCUGUACACACGGAUAACAUACCGAAAGGUAUGCUAAUACGGGAUAAUGUGCUUUUAUCGCAUGGUAAAAGUAUCAAAGCUCUGGCGGUACAGGAUGGACCCGCGUCUGAUUAGCUAGUUGGUAAGGUAAUGGCUUACCAAGGCGACGAUCAGUAGCCGACCUGAGAGGGUGAUCGGCCACAUUGGAACUGAGACACGGUCCAAACUCCUACGGGAGGCAGCAGUGGGGAAUAUUGCACAAUGGGCGAAAGCCUGAUGCAGCAACGCCGCGUGAGCGAUGAAGGCCUUCGGGUCGUAAAGCUCUGUCCUCAAGGAAGAUAAUGACGGUACUUGAGGAGGAAGCCCCGGCUAACUACGUGCCAGCAGCCGCCGUAAGAC
rnacentral:rRNA from 1 species